CGCUAGGAAGCUAAAUAUUGGACAAAGCAUUGGCCCUUUAAGCCAAAGAUUGGUGAUUCCCGACCCACCCCCUAGUGA
rnacentral:tRNA from 1 species